rnacentral:rRNA from 1 species
CGUCUAUAUACGUAUAGCAUAUCAAUAAGCGGAGGAAAAGAAACUAACAAGGAUUCCCUUAGUAACGGCGAGUGAAGCGGGAAGAGCUCAAAUUUGAAAUCUUCAAGGUUCUACCUUGACGAAUUGUAGUUUAAAGAAGUGUUUUCUGUUAGAUGAGUAUCAAAAGUUCCUUGGAAUGGGACAUCAUAGAGGGUGAGAAUCCCGUAUUUGGUUAUUCAUUCUAGCUUUGUGAUACACUUUCAAAGAGUCGGAUUGUUUGGGAAUGCAGUCCAAAAUGGGUGGUAAAUUUCAUCUAAAGCUAAAUAUUGGCGAGAGACCGAUAGCGAACAAGUACCGUGAGGGAAAGAUGAAAAGAACUUUGAAAAGAGAGUUAAACAGUACGUGAAAUUGUCAAAAGGGAAGCGUUUGACACCAGUGUUGUUUUCUCGAAAAUCAAUUAAAAAAGGCCGGAUUUUGUGUUGUAUUGACUUUAUCAGCUUUCUGCACUUUUUUCUUGUCUUUUUUAAUGCACUUUUCGUUUAACAAGUCAACAUCAAUUUCUUUUGUUGUAAAAGGGUCAUUGGAAGGUGGCUUUCUUUUCGGAGAAAGUGUUUAUAGCCUUUGAUCCCUGCAAUCGGAGAGACUGAGGUCUGCAGCGUAGACUCUUCGGGGUUAGAUACACUUUGUGCUAAGUUGUAGCUUUUCAUAGACAACUUGUUGACUAUGUUUAGUCUUGUAGCUUACUCGCUGGAUGCUAUUUUACCUACGCUUAGGAUGUUGACUGAUAUGUAGUCGU